GAAUUUAAGAAUACAUAUUGCUGCUGUUUACCAGUCCUAUCUGAUCUUGGAAACUAAGCUGAUUGUGCCUGGUUAGUACUUGGUAAGAGAGUGCCUGGGAAUAACACAUGCUGUAGGCC
rnacentral:rRNA from 1 species